AUCCCUCAAAGACUCUAUUGGGGUGGUUCGAUAUUUUGAAUUAAGGAUUUGUGGGUGCUGGUCAGCUGGGGAUGGGGAACCAGCAUCAGUGAGGCACCAUCUUCUAGGAAGUUCGUUUAGGGGUCAGCACACAGAGGCUGUGGUCCGGAAGUGGCCACAGCUCUACCUUACGCUGGCAGCUGAACUCGGUAGUGUGUAAGAGUCAGCCAGGUGGUGCUGGUUUUAGGAGGCAUGAAGUGGGCAUGGAGAGCAGCAGAGGCUUGGCAGUGUGUGGCAGGUCUGGAGUCCCUGAAGAGAGGUCGGAAGAUGCCAUGAAUGUCAGUGCAGCCUGUGCUGCAGUCAAAGCCCCAGGACUGAAGGACAGAGAAAGGCUGAGUCUUGUCAUCAUGCGGCAGGACCAGAGUCCCCGAAGGAAGCUUAGGAGAGGCUGUGGGGUGGAAGGUGCAGCCCAGCUGCAGAUAAAGAACCCAUGUUUUGGCAAUACCAGUAUCAUGGGACAAUCACAGCUGAAGCCACCGAGCAGAGCGAGCCUGAGCGUAGGAGACACUAAGUAAGCCGUGGCAAGCCCUUUGCAUCUAGAAGACCCUGAGCCCCAGACGCUGGACACUGAGCUGUUUCACAGUGUUGGAGUUUGCCUUGUUCAGAUGGUCACUGGUCUCUGAUGCUUCCCUUUGAGAGCUAGAAAGUGUGUAACUUAUAUGAUUCUGUUACAGAAGCCCACAGUUGAGAGAGUUUGGAAUUUUAGAGAGACUCCAAUUCUAAAGAGACUUUGGAUAUUGUAAAAACACUGAAUUUUUAAAGUGUGUGGGACUUCUAAAGUUAUUUAUGUUUAUAUUGUGAUAUUAAUGCUAUCUUGAGGUUUUUUUUUGUCAACCUGAUGCAAACUUAUCUCGGAGAAGAAGUCUUAAUUGAGAAAAUGCCUCCAUAAGAUUGACGGUAGUCCUGGGGUGUAAAACAAAACAAACUGAGACAGCGGGGAGGAGCAAGCCAGUAAGCAGCACGCAUCCACGGCCGCCACAUCAGCUCCUGCCUCCAGCUUCUUGGUUCUUGCCCUGAUUCCUCAGCGAUACACUUCACUAUGAAGCUAAAAAGUCAUCAACUUUCUUCAGGUAUCCUUGUGGAAAUUCAGGCUUUGCUUUUGAGCCCUCGUAUGUACUCGACAGCUCGGGGACUUUCAAACACGCCUCCAAGUACCAAUUGUCAGGCUUCCCAGUCAGAGGAAGGCCCUGUGUGACACAGCCGGGCAUACAAGGUCCUAGGAUUAGAGUCCCACGAUUCUCGCAAGGCUCUGAGAAGGGUGUAGUGGGUGAGCUACUGCCCUGGCUCAGAUCACAUGAUUCUUUGAGGGGAGCUCAGCCCUGAUCAUCCUGCCUGACCAGAUUUCAUUCCCCUUCUGUUUCACUGUCUUCGAAGGAAGAAAAUGCCGGUCAUCCUCAACUAACUCCUACAAUCUGAAGACCUGCACUCAAACACUGGCACUGUAUCCUUGUUCUCAUUAAACAAGUGUUUUGCUUGAACGCAUGUAUGUGCCUGGUGCCUGCAGAGGCCAAGAGAGGGUUCUGAUAUCCUCGGAACUGAAGCGACAGGCAGUGGUGAGCCACCGUGUGGGUGCUGGGGAUUGAACCUGGGUCCACUCCAGUGAGUACUCUCACCCACUGUCUCUCUAGUAUUGAUGUUUACAGUGCGGACGUGAGAAGGUACACUUGAGCAUGGCAUGAGACGCUCGGCUAACACGGACCCUAGAGCUGGAGAGACAGACGCUCGGCUAACACGGACCUGAGAGGCGGUGGUGCAGCCUGGGCUGAACAUUCCCUGUCAGCGGGUCUUCCCAGCUCCACUCAAGCUCCUAUGUUCUGUCUGAAAAGCACCUUCUGCCAUCCUUACCAUCCCCGACUCAGGACCUGGAGUAGGCUUCCUCUAAGGUUUCUUCUCAACCCUGGGAUGCUGCACAACGUCUGGAAGUGAUUCAUACAAGCUUGAUGAACAUUCAAAUGGAUUGGGUUGCACCAGCUUCCCACAUUCCUUCCCACUCUCUGAGUCAGAAGACGGACUUUUCCACAGAAAGUUCCCGCAGGACCCAGGCUGUCCAGCGUGACUCACUGUGGUCACCCUGUGACCUACUUUCCACUGUGAGCUUUGGCACAGUGGAUUCCCAUGACACUCCUCUGUCACCACCGCCACCUCCUCUCGAGAAUCGAGGCUCAGUGAAGCAAGCUGGUGCGGGCAAUGCUGAAUUUGGCAACUAUGGUUUUGGGUGUGGAUGGAGGGGUUGAAGGGAAAGGCGGACCCCUCAGCUCCCCAGAGCUCCCUGGAUUGCUCCCAGCUAGGCUAAGGUUGCUUCUGCAAGUGGAGCUCUGGGAAGAAGGGAGCUGUGGGUGGGGUGAGCAGCUCUUCUAAGGCUGGGAAUGCAUAGGGGUGAGUCUAGAGCCAGAUCCAAAAUGCCUGCUUCUGAGCUGGUGGCUUGCCACUAGGAAAACUAAACAUUUUCCUCUGAUCAUUUGAAA